rnacentral:pre_miRNA from 1 species
UUAGUACUCCCUCCGUUCUAAAUUACUCGUCGCAGAAACGGAUGUAUCUACAACUAAAAUACAUCUAGAUACAUCCAUACCUGCGACAAGUAAUUUGGGACGGAGGGAGUAGCUA